rnacentral:ncRNA from 1 species
UGGUCCCAGCCUUGAAAUCAAUUUUUACUCAAUAUACACAUGCAAGUCUCCCCACCCCUGUGAAAACGCCCUUUAAUCCCCAUUAGGGAAAAGGAGCUGGUAUCAGGCACGAAAAUCUGCCCAAAACACCUAGCUACGCCACACCCACAAGGGAAUUCAGCAGUGAUUAACAUUGAAUAUGAGCGACAGCUCGAUUCAGUUAGGGUAAAGUAGGGCCGGCUAAUCUGGUGCCAGCCGCCGCGGUUACACCAUGUGGCCCAAAUUGAUCCCUGUCGGCGUAAAGCGUGAUUAAAGUCUCCAAAAACUUGAGGUUGAACUAAAACUAGGCUGUGACACGCUUGUGAUUAAGAAACCCAAAACGAAAGUUACCCCAAUUAAACCAACUUGAAUUCACGACAGCUGGGGUACAAACUGGGAUUAGAUACCCCACUAUGCCUAGCCGUAAACUUUAAAUUACACCUACAUCGCCUGAGAACUACGAGCAAAGCUUAAAACUCAAAGGACUUGACGGUACCCCCAUAUCCCCCUAGAGGAGCCUGUCCUAUAAUCGAUAACCCCCGUUUAACCUCACCAUUUUUAGCCAAUCAGCCUGUAUACCUCCGUCGUCAGCUUACCACGUGAGCGAAACUUAGUGAGCUUAAUGCCUUUACACCAAUACGUCAGGUCAAGGUGCAGCAAAUGAAAUGGAAAGAGAUGGGCUACACUUUCUAAUAUAGAAAACACGAAAGACUUUAUGAAAUCUAGUCGGAAGGCGGAUUUAGCAGUAAAAAGAAAUCAGAAUAUUCUUUUUAACACGGCACUGGGGUGUGUACACACCGCCCGUCACCCUCUUCAUAAGCCAAAAAAAGUAUCUAACUAAUUAACGCAUAAUAGAAGAGGCAAGUCGUAACAUGGUAAGUAUACCGGAAGGUGUGCUUGGAAA